GCUGCUUCGGCGGUACAUAUACUAAAAUUGGAACGAUACAGAGAAAAUUAGCAUGGCCCCUGCGCAAGGAUGAUACGCAAAAUCGUGAAGCGUUCCACAUUUUU
rnacentral:snRNA from 1 species